GUGGGGAAUAUUGGACAAUGGGCGAAAGCCUGAUCCAGCCAUGCCGCGUGUGUGAAGAAGGUCUUCGGAUUGUAAAGCACUUUAAGCGAGGAGGAGGCUACCGAGAUUAAUACUCUUGGAUAGUGGACGUUACUCGCAGAAUAAGCACCGGCUAACUCUGUGCCAGCAGCCGCGGUAAUACAGAGGGUGCAAGCGUUAAUCGGAUUUACUGGGCGUAAAGCGCGCGUAGGUGGCCAAUUAAGUCAAAUGUGAAAUCCCCGAGCUUAACUUGGGAAUUGCAUUCGAUACUGGUUGGCUAGAGUAUGGGAGAGGAUGGUAGAAUUCCAGGUGUAGCGGUGAAAUGCGUAGAGAUCUGGAGGAAUACCGAUGGCGAAGGCAGCCAUCUGGCCUAAUACUGACACUGAGGUGCGAAAGCAUGGGGAGCAAACAGGAUUAGAUACCCCAGUAGUCC
rnacentral:rRNA from 1 species